UACGUAGGGUGCGAGCGUUGUCCGGAAUUAUUGGGCGUAAAGAGCUUGUAGGCGGUCUGUCGCGUCUGCUGUGAAAAUCCGGGGCUCAACCCCGGACUUGCAGUGGGUACGGGCAGACUAGAGUGUGGUAGGGGAGACUGGAAUUCCUGGUGUAGCGGUGAAAUGCGCAGAUAUCAGGAGGAACUCCGAUGGCGAAGGCAGGUCUCUGGGCCACUACUGACGCUGAGAAGCGAAAGCAUGGGGAGCGAACAGG
rnacentral:rRNA from 1 species